AACGAACGCUGGCGGCAGGCCUAACACAUGCAAGUCGAACGCUUCAGCAAUGAAGAGUGGCAGACGGGUGAGUAACGCGUGGGAACCUCCCCAGUGGUACGGAAUAGCCCAGGGAAACUUGGGGUAAUACCGUAUAAGCCCUUCGGGGGAAAGAUUUAUCGCCAUUGGAUGGGCCCGCGUCGGAUUAGCUUGUUGGUGAGGUAAAAGCUCACCAAGGCGACGAUCCGUAGCUGGUCUGAGAGGAUGAUCAGCCACACUGGGACUGAGACACGGCCCAGACUCCUACGGGAGGCAGCAGUGGGGAAUAUUGGACAAUGGGCGCAAGCCUGAUCCAGCCAUGCCGCGUGAGUGACGAAGGCCUUAGGGUUGUAAAGCUCUUUUGGCGGGGACGAUAAUGACGGUACCCGCAGAAUAAGCUCCGGCUAACUUCGUG
rnacentral:rRNA from 1 species